CUUUCUCGUCUCUCAUCCUUCUUUCAUUUCUCAUUCCCAAAUCUCAUUUGUCCUCAUCCUUGUAAAUGUGGAUCGUGUACGUCCGAUUGAUUAAGCCUCGACUCAGGAUACAGAACAGAAUCUUCUGGCUGUAAUUACCCUGCUGUAGAGCUUUGACUCCAAUAGUAACUCCGUGGUAUGAAAGUUUGAGAUGACCAUCAAAUGACAGAAGAGCUCAGGAUGAAUUUCGUGUUUCUUCUGACGUAGACAGUAUUGAAUUCUGUGUACGGAAUCACGUAUCGGCUUUAAGCGUGAUAAAGAGAAUGUAAAGCCGUGCCACAUUGUGUUGCAGUAGAAUAGCAUUUUAUGAUUAAAAGUCCUAAAAAUCGAUCUACAGACCUAUUUAACUUUUUCAUACAUGUAGACGUAAUUUUACGACUGUGAUUUUCUUUGAUUUUUAACUACUUGUACAUUAUAUGGUUAAAAAAAAUGCAACAAGUGUUCGAAUUAAAAGGCGAGAUUUUCA